rnacentral:rRNA from 1 species
UACGAAGGGUGCAAACGUUUGCUCGGAAUUAUUGGGCGUAAAGCGCACGUAGGCGGCUUUGCAAGUCGGGUGUGAAAGCCCUCAGCUCAACUGAGGAAGUGCGCCCGAAACUGCAGAGCUUGAGUACCGGAGAGGGUGGCGGAAUUCCCCAAGUAGAGGUGAAAUUCGUAGAUAUGGGGAGGAACACCGGUGGCGAAGGCGGCCACCUGGACGGUCACUGACGCUGAGACGCGAAAGCGUGGGGAGCAAACAGG